UAAUUUUGUACUAAGGGACAAUAGUUUAGUUUACUUGUUCAUUUUUCUCAAAAUUCCCAAAAGUUAAUGCUGGUCCUAACCGUAUCCCUUCACCUUCUAGAUAUUAAAUCCUAAAUUUUAAACACUAAAUAUAUUUACCCACAUAUAAAUUCUAAACUUUAAUAUAACCCUAAAUCCAAAUUGAAUGGAACAAAAUAAAUAAAUAGUACAUAGUGGUAAAAUUGUGAAAUGUCUAUGAUUGCAUGAAAUAAGUUAAUGCUGACUACAACUACCAUACCCCCUCACUUUCUAAAUAUUAAAAUCGAAACUCUAAACAUUAAACUCUAACCCAAAUAUGAACCCUAAACCCAAAUAUCAAAAUCUAAGAA
rnacentral:lncRNA from 1 species